AUGAAUAAUCUGAAGGAUGAUAAGACUAAGAUUUAUCUCUCUAAGACGAGGGGAGGUAAGGAACUGCCAUCUAGCUCUACUUUAGAUUCACCUUCUGUUAUAAGUAAACUUGCAACACCACCACAUGAUCUUAAUCCUGAUAUGUCGCAAGUUAUUGAUGAUGCUACUUCUGCUAUGAAUGAUACUUAUGAUGAUGCUAGUACCUUGACUGAUAAUGAUGAUGUGCCACUAGGUGAAUUUCUUGAUGAACAAAUUGCUAGAGUAAGACAACAUGAUGUUGUUGAAACUAAUGAUGAGCUUGAAACUGGAAAUCUUGAAACACCUACUGUCAGCAUUCUGUGA
rnacentral:rRNA from 1 species